rnacentral:rRNA from 1 species
AAGAGUUCGGGCUGCACGCGCGCUACACUGACAGAGACAACGAGUGGGGCCCCUUGUCCGAAAUGACUGGGUAAACUUGUGAAACUUUGUCGUGCUGGGGAUGGAGCUUUGUAAUUUUUGCUCUUCAACGAGGAAUUCCUAGUAAGCGCAAGUCAUCAGCUUGCGUUGACUACGUCCCUGCCCUUUGUACACACCGCCCGUCGCUACUACCGAUUGAAUGGCUUAGUGAGGACUUGGGAGAGUACAUCGGGGAGCCAGCAAUGGCACCCUGACGGCUCAAACUCUUACAAACUUGGUCAUUUAGAGGAAGUAAAAGUCGUAACAAGGUAUCUGUAGGUGAACCUGCAGAUGGAUCAUUUCGAUGAAAACCUUUUUUCUGAGGUGUGGCUCGCACCUGUCUAACUAAACUUGAGCUACCUUUUUAACACGGUUGCAUCGGUUGGGCCUGUCAAACAGUGCAAUUACGCGCUGGGAGACGGUCUCGACACUUUUAACCAAACACUUUUGAUGAUCUAGGAUUUGAAUGAAGUUCAUUUUUACGAUGGAACCGACUGGUAAUGCGGUCGACUAAAUCUAAAAAACAACUUUUGGCAACGGAUCUCUUGGUUCUCCCAUCGAUGAAGAACGCAGCGAAUUGCGAUAAGUAAUGUGAAUUGCAGAAGUGAAUCAUCGAAUCUUUGAACGCACCUUGCGCUCCCUGCAGAUCUAAUCUGGGGAGCAUGCCUGUUUGAGGGCCGCGAAUUGUUUCGAACGACACCUUUUUUUUUUUUUAACAAAAAGGGGGACGGAACCGGUUUUGAGGAUUUUUGCCCUUUCCCCGGGGCUUCCCCCAAAAAGCAUUUACCGCCUCCCUUUCAAAA